GCGGUGGGUGCGGGAGGGAGGAGUGCGUUUAUCAGGCGGACGGUGACCGUUGGUCUGCGGUGGAGCCCGAGCUCUGGAGCACUACAGGCCCGGUCAGUGCCAGCUCUGUCACCUAGCUUCAGAGCAGAGACAAGAGCCCAGAAAGGAGCAGAUGCUAGAUUUGCAAGAUCAGAAGCAGGUCUUGAUCCUCCUGCCCAGAAUGAACCAGACUUGAUGAUGAUGCCACCUUCAGGAGCCACCACACUGUGUGACAGUGGGGCAUUUGGGCCGUCCCUGGGAAGUACAGAUGCGCUGCUGUCACACAUGUCCACCACCACAUGUGACAUUAGUGACGUUAUCCUGAUGUCACAGGAUCCAAGAAUGAUGAUCUGUGAAGAGUUUUCCGAGGUCACCUACUUCUAACUCUUUUGAAAGAUUUAAAGACAUUGGGCCUGAAAAUUUCAGUGACUUGUCCAGGGAAACGCAGUUUGUGACAGUUCACUCUCUCACAGCUGAACCACAGUCCUCUGUACUCGCCCAGGAGCCACAGAA
ensembl:lncRNA